rnacentral:tRNA from 1 species
AUUUGAGUAGUUUAUGGAAAAUAUUGAUUUGUGGUGUCAAUGAAGUGAUAAAAUCACCUCAGAUC